GUUUGAGGCAAAAUCUAAUUAUCAUCUAUUGCCGCUUACAUUCUUUGUGCAAAUUGAACAUUUACAUUUUUUUAAUAACAAUGCAGAAGAUCAAAGUACAUCUUUGUCAGUUUUGCUUGUUACUGCCAUCUAUGCUGGUGUCAUAAACUCUGGUGUAGACACACAGACUGACAGAAUAGCUGGAGAGCUAAUUACUUGAAAUAGGAUUCAUGAAAGCUAUUAAUAAAGUGCUGUCACAAUUAUCACAUGUGAAAGCAUGAAGAGUGCUGUAUUAUUACCUGUAGAGCAAGGCAUUUUUAAAAAAAGUUUCUGUUGAAGAAUAAAUAUGACUUGACUGAAACUAUUUAAAAACUUGUAAUGAAUUUUUCAUCUAAAGUAAUUAAGAAAGUGAAUAUCCUAUAUUUUAUGAAUAAAAAAUGUGCUAACUUUUCAGCUCAAAACAUUUCAUUUCAAAAUGCACUUUUAAAAAAUGAUCACUAUUCAAAAAAAAAAAAAAAAGAAAGAAAGAAAAAGAAAAAAACAACAACAAAAACCAAACAAUUCCAAAACUAAAUGUGGCCCUAAUUUAACGGCUCUCAUUAUUCAUUUGUAGGGCUCAGAAUUUUAAAAAGAUAAAUUCCUAUUUUCAAUUUGUCAAAAGCAUUUCCCAUUGUGACACUGAUUAACAGAUUUUGCAGAGCUCAGCAGCUGACAGUCUUGCUGAUUUUCCCUUGCAAAUUAUUUCUUGACCAUAGGAGUUUGAAAAUCCUGGUGACAGUGCACUACCCAAAGGAAGCACCUGCUGAAGCUUCCAAGCAGAAUUCGUUUUAUUCGUUUUCUUAAAAGGCAUUCUUUCAUUUGUAUGACUUUUUAUAUGCAUUGAAAGAAGAGAUCCAGAGUGUGUUGUGUUCACAGAUGGUUUCAUCAACAGCUACAUCAGUGAUGAGUAGACUUGAUACUCUGUUUGGGUGUGCUUUCACAUUAGGACAACACAUCUCUUGAAAGGAAUAGCGCUGGACCUCUCUGUUCUCAAAUAGCUAAGAGAAUUUUCAAGCUGGGCAUAUUUCAUGCAACUGUCAAAUAAUCAGUUGCAAAGUAAUAACACUUCUGAAAUUCCUCAUGCUUGUAACACAUUGCAGGUAAAAACAGAUUUUUCUUGGUAAAAUUAGAUAAAUACUGUCUUGCUUGAGCUCCUGAAAGUCAUAUUAAUAUUUUUUUACAUGUAAAUUAAGUAGAUGAAUUCAUUCUUAGUAUCUCAAAAUCAACCCUGUAAUUUAAAUGGAUUUUUUAAUGUGUACUAAUUUUAAUGAUUUACUGGGAGGUUUAUUGGAAGAAGAUGGGCAAAGUAUUGUCACUGAAGCCUCGCUAUCUAAAAUAAAUAGCUAUAAAUAACCUUUGAUACUACAAGCCCCUACCUAGAGCUUAUUCAUCUCAACUAAUUUCUGCAGCUGAGAAUGUUCAUGAACACAAGACUACCUUCACAACCUCCUCCUUCCACCCCUCAGCCCCCAAAAUUACCUUACAGUAAUAGUUUUUAAGUAUUGUGUAGCCUGCUAAACCUUUGCUCCAUGUUCAUUUGGCGAUGAAAACUCAUUAUAUUUAACCUACCAUAGAUUCACAUUCAUGCACAUGCUCAGAUAUCAGUCAUGGAUGGAUCAGGCUGAGGGUAAAAAGAGUACACCCUUGAUUUGUGCAUGCUCCAUCCAAUCUAUGCAGCAAAAACAGAGAAACUUUAGCUCUGUUCUCAUGGAUGCUUCAAAGAGAAUGUAAUAAGGGGUGAUGUAAUGUGCACGCGAAUCAAAGUUUUGUGUUGUGGGAGACUUCUUUCUGCAACAAAAUGUUGCUGAGAAUGGCUCAGUCCCUCUAUAAGAAUUCUUUCUUAUUCUCUAUAAUUGUCGUUGUUUCAUGUUUCAGCAAGUGACAGGGUAAACAUUAAUGCAAACCACUGUCCUUGGAGUUUCUGUUUUUGAAAGCAAAAGUUUGACACUAAAAAGCUAAUUAUCAAAAUAAAAACAAAAGAGAUGAUGUGCCAGCUGUCCAGUAGCAGGAAGCAUUCAAUCCUUGCUCCUUCACAGUUCAACUAAAUAAUUUUACUCCUUUUUUUUCUUUAUCUUUUUUUUUUUUUUUUUUUUUUUUUUUUUUUUUUUUUUUUUAACCCUGAGCUGUGAUUUCUGUACUGUUUAGUGAAGUUCAGCAUCCUAGAAGACUAACAAUGAUUAGUCCUGGGAACACUAUCUACAGUAUGAACUUUCACUUGCCAUACCAUGAUCUAUUUUAGGUGGCUUCUCCAUCCUCCGGUGGCCUUAGGCUUGGAGACAAGUAGAAAAAGAGGCAGGGAGAAAGGUUGAUUCCAAGAAGCUGUGAGAAGACAGAGGCCAUGAGAGGAUGAAGGAAGACGUAAAGAACACAUAUUCAAGACUAGAAUCAUAGAAUCAUUAAGGUUGCAAAAGACCUUUAAGGUCAUCUAGUCCAACUGUCAAUGCCAUAUGUCCUUCAGUGCUAUAUCCACCCUUUUCUUGAAAUCCUUCAGGUACUCCACCACUUCCCUGUGCAGCUUAUUCCAAUGCAUUACCACUCUUUCUGAGAAGAAAUUUUUCCUAAUAUCUAAGCUGAACCUUCCCCAAUGCAGGUUGAGGCUGUUUGCUCUUGGCUGAUCACUUGUUACCUGGCAGAAGAGGCCUGAGGUCAGGAAAGACUGUGUGAGGCAUAGGCUAUCUCAGGACCUUUGUGAAUAAUUGUGAAAUUUUGACAAAAUAUGCAUGUCAGAAGAUUGCAUUUUCUUGGUUUACUUGCUUCCAACAGGACAUUCUUUUAUGGAUCUUUACAGUCUAGCUACUUUCAUGACCAAUACUUCAUAUUGACUAUUGGAAUUUAUGAAUUUAAUAUUUUAUUUUUUGGAGAUGAAAGGAAUUAUUUUAAUUAUUGCAAAAUACAAGUGCAGAUCUCUAGUGAUUAACAGUGCAGAUCUGGCAAUCCUUUUUAGUAUAAUUGUUUUUUAAUUAAUGCCUUUUGACACAGUCUGUCCUGUGAAUUACAUUUUGUUUAGACAAGUGUAGUUAGCCUGUCUUUUAACUUUAUUUACUCCUAUUCUGUAUCCACUUAAUCCUCUACAGCAAAGUAAGACAAUACUUUUCAGACAUCUCUCCUUCAAUUCACUUCAAAUUUUGUAGAAAAAUGUACUAUGGGCCAGAUGUGAAUGAAUAAUACACUUUUAAGAAGGAUUAAUUUAGACUCAUAACAAACUCAGUUGUAACCAUUGUAGUGGAAUGAAUGUUAUCGAUAUGUUCUGUUGGGGGUCAUGAAAAUCUCAUGUCCUGUUUCUUUUCUACUGACUAAGUGAUAUGCUCCUUGCCAGCAGUAGAAUUUUUUUUUUUUUUUCAAAUGUAGUCUCUUGUGGCUAAAAUAGAUUUAUUAUUUUAACAGUCUAAGGUGUGAUACAGUGGAACUAAAUCGUAAGGUUUUGUUAGUAGUUGUAAAAUAAAUAAAUAAAUAUACUAGAAAGCUAUUUAUUAAGAUGUCCUUGAUUAAGAGUUUCUGCUGAAUACUCUUUAAAUUGAUCUUUAAAUAUGUGUAUGACUUCUUUUAAUUUAUGAAUGCUUGGCAACAGGAUUACCUGCACAACUUUGCAGUUGACACAACCUGUCCUAUUCUGAGGAAACCCUUGGUGUUGUAACAAGUUAUUAUAAAAAAUCAGGCCCAUAAUAUGCCUUGCAUCACAUAGCUAAAUUUUAGAUCUAGUUGCAAAAUUUUGUUGAGUUUCCAAAUGUUAGCAUUUUUCAGGUGUUCUCAAAUUCAAACAUACACUUGGAAUAAUUUUACAUAAUCACUUUUUUACUGUAUUAAAUGCAUAACCAGUGAGAUGAUUGAUGUUCAGCAUUUGAAGAGUUAUAAUUUUGGCAAAUGUGUCCUAUAUAAGUUUCUGUUUUACAUGUUAGGGCCUCCCUAUAAGAAAUCCACCAAGUGAGCCAGGAGAGAGAACACGGGAGUCUGUAGAUGAGAAGGAAAAACUGGGAUAGAGUAAAAAUGCAAUUACAGAGAGGGAUUAAGACUUUUCUAGGAGACAAACAGGGAACAAAUGAGAAAAGGAGGUGCACAGAAAAGUCAGGGCAGGGUUAGUUCUGGCAAGAUAUGGGAUGGGGGUUGGUAAUGGUGAAUCAGUUAGAGCAGUGAUGGAAAACAUUUGGGUCAGAAAGGAAAGAUGAGAAACAAAGGAUUGGUUGAGGUGAGGUCUGAGACUGCUAAGAAAACUUAAUUAUUUUAGAUAUCAAAAAUAACAUUUCUGGCAAAAGGCUUCACACUAGGAAUAUCUUUUCAGAGCACUCCAUAUAUUUCCUCUGAGGUGCUGAGUACUUCAACUUUCAGUGUUCCUCAGUAUGUUAUGUGGUAAAGAGAUCACCUAAGAUUCAGUAUCUGGAGGAGUAUAGUAAGUUUUGUUGAGAAAAGCAACUUGAAACUGGGUUGGUAGGCUUGUACAGGUCCAUUUUAGUCAACAAGAAAAACUGAGAAAAUGACUGAAGAUUUCAAAGAAAUAGUAGUGGGAGAAGAUCUAAUGGAGAGAGGAAAGGUCAAGCUUGUGAAGAACAGGCAGAAGAGUGACCCCAGGUGACCACUGCCUUAGAAUAUCCUCAAGGGUUCCUGAAUGCAGUGGUUCUUCUGAUAGUUAUAAAUGUUUCUAAAAACCAUCUGCAGUUUCUGUACCAAUGUUACCGAUGUUUCAGUUAUUCCAGCAGUCACCUGUCUGCUACUGCUACUAUUUACUCUCUUAUCUCAAGUAGAAAAACUACGUGGUAUGUCUAAAAUCUCCUCAGGUAUCUGAUGCUGGAAUACUAAUAUUAGUGAAAUGUGGAAUAAUGAAUUUUGGUCUUCUGCUCUGCUUUUAAACUCAGUUUAGACAAUUAAGAAAUAAUUAUCAAGAAUAUCUCAAAAGAACACCAUGAAAAUUCUGAAAGCAGAUCUUAAUAUUUACAAGUGUUACUACUAUACAUUUCUGCAACUUCAGCUAUUUCAUCUUGAAACACAGUUGUAAUGUUUUUUCUUGUUUACUACUUCAAACAAAGGGCAGGAUAAGCCUACUCGGGGAACCCACCAGUGCUAAGUAAUGAAUGGAAAUCAUUUUUUCAUCAGAGUUCUGCCUCAUCUUUUACAAAAGUUGUAAAGCAUGCUCUUUAAGUAAGCAGGGUACUUCAGGAGAAAAUGUAUUCUUCCAGGAUAGAAAUAGUUGCUCUGGAAACCUGCCACUGACAUUGUUUCCUACCUUAUGUCUGCCAGGCAACUAAGCAGGCUUUCCCUUGUGUGAUUUUAUGUUCCCUGUUUUUAAGAUUCUUAACCUCAGGUUCUGAUUUGCAGAUGUGGGGAGUGUUCUCAACUGCUUAUAAUUUCUUGGGAAAUGAACUUUGAUGUAGAAAUUCCUGCAUAGGCUCAGAACCUUAACAAUCGAUCUUCAGUUUCUCAUCCUGAUAGUCAAGAAAUAAUGGUUGCCUUGACAUUAACAUCUCUCUGCUGCUGUAGUAGUAGCCACUAGUGUAAAGAGUGUUGUUAACACAAAUUAGUGAACUUUUGCCGUAACACAUAUAAGGCCUUUAAAGGAGAACUAGCAAUGUAGCUCUGAGAAAAUGAACGACUCUAGGAGGAUAGUAAUAAUUCCUUCUUUGUAGCAAGAUGUAAAUUGUGUGCUGUAGGUAAUGUGUGGAGUCACAUGUUGAACAUCUAAAAUAAAAGAAAAUAUUGGAUUAGUAGCUAGUUAAGAAGGCACUGUCCAUCAGAAACCAUAAAUAAGGUUGAUAUUAUACAAAAAUGAAUUAAAAAGAAUGGCAUACAAAGACAUAUUCAUACUGAAUUUGCAAAAAGGUCUAUUUGAAAGUUGCAGUCAGCCUCUGUAAUUGCCUCACAUUUGAGUACUCAACCUUGCAACGAUUGUAAUGUUCUUCGAUUAGAAUUUUGCUUCAUAAAAACUCAUUUGUGCAUAAAUCUAUGUAUAUUUCUGCAUGAAUGUUUAUUACACUGAUUCUAAUUGGAUGAUUACAUUUGCUUUCAGUAGCACACUAGAUUUCUCCUAUUCAAGCUUUCCUUUUAGUAGACCCUAGAGGCCUAAUCCAGGCUUGAAUAUUCCUAUUCAGGCAUGACUUUAAAAGCCUUUUUUCCCCAACAGUUUUAAUACUGCUAUGUAUUAUUUGGAGUUACCACUCAAUAUGCUUUGUACUAAGUUUAUUUCUUUAAGAAGUCAUUUUUCUUAGUGUUCUGACUGUUAAGGAUUUGUCCUGCAAACGCUAGUAAUGCUGUAUGUAUAUGUCAGAUCAUCUUUCCUGGAAAUUUUGAAAAUUUGUAGUUUAUUGAUUAAUAUUACAUAUACACACAUGCAUACACACCAAUUUAUAUGUUAAAAAAUGAGCUGUGAGUUGUCAAUGUAUACCUAAAUUCAGAACAUUUUCUAUGUUUGCAUGUGGAUUCUGGCAAAGAAGUAGUUCAAAUGAAGUACAUGAUUUUAAAAGCCUCACUAAAAGCUCACACUAGAUUUGAAUAUAGAUGGAUUUUCAGAAGAGCAACAUCUGUCUUCACUUUGAAAUACUGUCAAACAAAGGAAAUGGAAAGUUAUUUCUUUGUAUGUGUGUGGUGGAGGCGUUUGUCUUUUACUUUUCUAAGUAUGGUAGAAAUAGGAAAAGCUUGAUUUGUGCAGGUGAUGCAGGAGAGAAUGUGGACACCGGUGUUACAGAAAGUAAUUUAGAACUGGAAAAAAAAAAAAAAUACUAAAUUUGCUGCUGCUGGAGGAGGACUUUGCCAGAUAACGAAGCAUCCUUCUCUUAUUUUGAAAACAUCUCUAUCCCAUCUUUUACCAAGUAGUCAUAACUGCCAGUUAUUGCACAGCCUGGCAGAAAUGCAUGGGGGCUUUCUUUCUGAGUCAGAGAAGGGCUAGCAAUCAGUGUUUUUAUCCCUGUUAUGAGGACUUCCAUCUACCUUUUAUCAAAAUGUGGAAUAGUAAAAAAUUUUGAUUUUCUAGAAAUCUCUAGAACCAAAUCUCUUGCAAUAAGUGCCAUAUUUUCUUGACAUAUCUGAAGAUAUGUAUCUACAUAUCCAGAUAGUUACUGUUUCUAGAAUUGUAAUCAGCCAAAAUUUUGAUUUUGCAGAGAAUUCUACAAAGUCUAAAUUGGCAAGCUUCAAAAUCAGUAAACUGAAAAUGAUAUUACAAUAAAAAUUAAAACAUAUUGCUCCCUUUAAAAAUUACACUGCUGUUUAACUGCAAUGUAGAAAUGCAAUUUUUAUACAAGAAGCUUAUUCUGAACAUAAAAAGCAAGUUUUCCAUUUCUGUAAUGAAAUCCAAAGCUGUACACCACUGCAAUAAGCUUCAGUAUGGACAAAAUGCCUUUCUAUGUAGCUUUUCAAAAAUUGAAGAUACUUUCUGGUGGAAAGCUGGUCUGUCAAAAUUUUUCUAAUCUGUUCAAAUCAUACCAUCCUUUUAUCUAAGCCAUAAGAAUAAAUGAAUUUCUUUGAUAUGGAAAUACAUUUCUAACUAGGAAGAGAAACUCUCUCUGAGCCUAUAUUUCUUUCAUUAAAAGUUAUGCAAGUUUAGUGAUUACUCAUGUUGAUGUACUUGAACAGUUUUCUCAGUGCUAUCAAGCUAUCUAACAAGAUUAUAAGAUAAAAAUAUAUCUGAAAUCCUGUUUCACUGGCAACUGUUCAGUUUUCUUGUAAAAUGAAUGGAUUACAAUGAAGUAAAAUAUAUAGAAAAGGAUUUUAUUUAUUUAAGUUUGAUUUCUUUUUUAUUGGGGAAGAGUAAGAGUUAGAAUUCAGGAUGCCUGAGAACAGAAGCACCAUACUCCCAUUUUGGAUUCACAAUAUAUAGAGAAUCUGAAUGUGGUGGACUGUACCCAACCUAGAAAACUUGAGUUUGCUGGAAAACAUGUAUUCUGGAGCUUCUACAUUCACUGAAUCUAAUAUUUUCCUUAGCUUUUUACAUCUAUUUAGGAUUAGCAUAAGCUUUUUGAGCUGAUUCUCAGCAUCUCAGCUCCUGUCUUUUCUGCCUAUCAGAAGGACCCAAAGAUGUGCAACUUGGCAGGUGAAGUUGGAAAACAAGGAUUCUACUGUAAAUUGGCAAAUCCCAAGUUGGAAUAGAUCUAUAAGAAUCUCUGAGUCCAUCUCCUGGCUCCACUCAAGACCACACAGAAUUCAAAUCCUAGUGGGAGAGCAUUGUUCAAACAAUCCUUGAACUCCAACACCUGGGGCUGUGACCACUGGAGAACCUGUUCCAUGCCCCCAACCUUCUGGUGAAGAAUCUUUUCCUAAUUCCCAACCUGACCCUCUCCUGAUGCAAUUCCAUGUUGCUCCCUCAGGUCCUGUUGCUGUUGCCAGAAACUUUCUGGGUUUUCAGAGGUAAAAAAAACCUGAGUCACAACUGACUGUGAAAGUAAAAGACUGGACCAGUAAAUAGCCAUCUCAGGAAGUCUUAUUAGGCAACAGUAUCAAGUAAAAUACAGGAGAAUUGUAGUCACAACUGUGCCACUUGGCUGACUUGGUUAAUCUCUGUAAAACACACUUUUAGUGAACCAGUAUACUCCUACAAAAAAAAAAAAAAAAAAAUCACAUAACAUCCAAUGACAUCUGUAUUUCAUGGCAUAUGUGAUUCGGCAAAACUAUCUACUGAGGACAUUUUUUGCAGUAGGAGAGCUACAAUUGGCCAAAUGUCUCAGUGCUCCAACUUUAUCUCCUUGGCUCUGCCAGAUGUGUCUGGGGCCAUUUUCAGAAUGCACAAUACUGAAAGCCACAAGUGACUAAAAAAGACCUGUGGAGAGGCCUGGCAGUAAUUAGUUCAGUAACUGACAUACUUCAUGGUUGACAAAUGAAAGUUAGUGCUCUUUGAAAUGCAUAAUUUGAUCUAACCAUACACAUUGCCAGAUUCUAGCUGAGAAACAAAGACUUGGUAUUGUCAGAGUUUAUGAUGGCAACAACAGCUGGAAAAGUAUAUGGUGCUGGAAAGUUUAUAAAGAAGGAUAGAAAAUAGUGCCAUGUUACAUGCAGGUAAAUUAUAAUCACUCAGCUGGAAUACAACAUUUCUGUUCUAGUAAAUAAAACAAAAUAAAAUAUGUAUUUUGAAAAUAGAGUAGGUGUAUGAAAGGAGGCUGAUUGGAAAAAUUUUCAUUUAAAACUCAACAUAUUUUGAUUUAGAAAGGAUUGAAGGGAAGAAAUGAUAGAAAUGUAUAAGUAGAUACAUACAGGGUAGAGAAGACACAGUCUCAUGCUUACUUCUUUUCUUACAUAAAACCAACAACAACAAAAAAUGAAUAACUGGAAGAAAAUGAAGAAAUGUACUUCUGAAAAAUACAGAUUUAGUAAGUUCUGACUAUGUGUGAAUCUCAUUUUCGCUAGCAGGAUAGAAUUGAGUCUAAGAUCUUAAUACAGUUUCUAAAUGAUUUAGAAGUCUGCAUGCUUCUUUCAACCUUGUAUUAUAUUGAAUACAGAUUUUGUAAGCAAUAUGCCUUUCAGGCUUAAGAGUUAAGAAGGAACAUCUCCAAUAGACAGAUUAUUCCAUAACUGUUCAUUACUUUCCCCAAGACAUCUUGUCACACUCUCUGUUUGAGACAGGCUGCUGGAAUAAACCACUGUUACAACUUGUUAAUAAAAAUACACUAAACAGUAUUUUGAAUAUAUUGUUUUGAAUGACAUUAGACCUUGCUAUGUUUAAGCAUUUUUGAGACAUUGUGACUUUAGCUUUGAGAAACAUGUAGGCAUUCUUGCUCUGCCUCCUAUCAAGUAAGACUUUCUGUUCUAGCUCAUUCUGAGUCUAAGCAUGAUGCAGAUAAUAGAGAAUAUAGGCUAGAAACUAUACAGAAAAUGAGAAGAAGAUUUAUCAGCCAAGGAAGUAUCAAUAUAUAGUGAAAUGGCUGGAUUGACUUUGUAAUCCAUUCCAUUUAUGAAUCUUUAUCUCAGAAUUUAUUUUGUACUCUAACAAAGGUUGAAAUAUCUCCUAAAUGAAAAAAAGACAUUUUAAAAAGAUUGUUCUUUUUACAUUUAUUUUGCUUUAAACCUGGGCUGAGAAACUAAAAUAUUAUUCAUUGGAGACAUUCAGAAACAUUAAAGAUACUUACAAUUAAUUAGCCAAUCUAUUCAUGAGAGGCUUAGGAGCAGUCAGAAGUUGAAUAUUUAAUAUUUUUUAUGAUCUCUUGUUUUUUUCAGUGCUGUUUUCCAUUUCAGGAUGUGAAAUCAAAGAUUUACAACCUUACUACACUUUGUACACUGAACUCUGCAGUUACUCUUGUGUACUGCUACACAACAGUAUAAACUGCUGUGAGCUGGGGUCCAUGCAGCAAUAACCUCUCCUGUUAGAAGUUUGUACUCAGGAAAAUAAGGCCUCUACCUUGUUCAUGUUUCAAUAAUAGAAAAAAUCAGCAAAAUAUGGAAUGAAAUCCUGCCUUCUUGAAAUCAGCUUGUUGACAGUGUUGGUGGUCACUUGAGUGGGAUCGAAAUCAGAGCAAAUUUACUCUAGCCUAUUGAACAGCAACAGGUAACCGUAAAUAGGCAUAAAGUCAGAAUAGGUCUGUCAUAACAAUUCUCCAGAAUACUAUCAGCCACUAAGAUUGAGGUGUUACCUUUCUAUUAUUUUAGCUCUAGUAGUCCUUUUUUCUUUAGCUUUUCCAGUCUCCCCUUUUAUUCAUCUACAUUUUAGUUAUCCACCUACUCCUGAAGAGGGAUUUCCACAAUUUAAGUACACGUUACAUCAACAUUUCCCUCAGCUUCCCACUUUUUAAGUUUCAUUUGGUAUUUCCCAGUUUUGAUAUUUGAAAUGAUGGUAUGUGACAAUGCUUUCUACAACAGUACAGCACAAAGCAAAUGAAACGUUACGAACUUGCAUUUUUUUCUGAUAGGAACAGACAAAUAUGUAGCUUUGAAAGAAAAGGUAAAGGUUGUCCAAUUGACUUUUAUGUUGAAAUUAGGCAAGAGAUUUUUACCUGAUUAUUGGAACCCCAUGAAUUCUGUUUUUUUAAAAAGGUUUAAAACCUCCAGAGAUCUUGUUUUAAUUAUAAUGCAGAACUUUGCUCUAGGGAAGAAUUAUGUGUUUGUUGAACUACAUUGGGCUUGAGUAGGAUUUCUGCCAUGAGUAGCUGAUUAGACAGCUGGUUGCUUUCUCAGAGACUCGUAAUUUUCCUUAAGUUUUACAGAGGUUAAGAAGACAGAUAAUGAUCUCUGUAACAUUCAUUGUGAGUGAUCAAGAUAAAAAAUUUGAGUGUUAAAACACUUCAGUUCAACACCUUUAGUAUUACGGCCUCGGUGUUCAGUUGAUAUUUUGCACUUACAUAAGUGGAUUGCAAUCUGUGGGACCAUGGCAGAGAUCAGCAGGACAGUAUAAAGGGGAAAGACUGGACUAGGGGCAAGGUUAAAUGGCAACACAGUUUCUCCAGUGUGUCAGAAAUAACUAAAAGCAUCCUGUCAUAAUACUAUGUCAGACCAAUAGGACCUGGAUGCAGAUCCACCCAUGCAAAGUUAAAAAGAUGAUGUGGGUUUUAAGACUCAAAAUUCAAUGAGAGUCCUUCCACUGAUUUCAACCAAAUUUAAAUAAUCUGCAGUUCAGCAUGAUGGUUAAGAACAUGCCUAGUUUGAGAAAAGUAACUCUUUUCAGAGAGACCUUGUACAAGCGUAAGAACCUUAGUGAAUUCAGACUACACUGAAUGAUAAGCUGUCUGUUAGGAGUAACUUAGAUGUGAAAACCAUAAAAUCUAAUGGAAACAGAAAUGUGAAGUUAGUAGGCUUCAGUAUCAUCAUUUUUAUUUUAUUUUAUUUUAUUUUAUUUUAUUUUAUUUUAUUUUAUUUUAUUUGCUAGCAUUUGAUUUCUCCAUUUCCAUUCAGAAAAAUCUUCCUUAAAACUCAGUCUUCCAGCACUCAAGUAUACUGUGAAAUGGUUAAUGCUAUUUUUUACAGAAUUGGUUUGGCACAUUAAGGUUCAAAAGGAAAUGUUUCAAAAGAAAAGCACUUAAAAGCAAUACGGAACCCAAUCCUUACUACUCUAAUAACGUGAAUGCUAGGUGCUAUGUUGGGUUAGUUUGUAUUUGUGAGAAACUUCAGAGAAGAUAGGCUUUAUAUAAUAAAGUAGUUUUUAUCUGUCAAAGAAAUCGAAGAUUAUUCCUUUGAUUUUGUUGGUUAUGUGCUCCAAAAGUUACAUGAUCUGAAAGUAUUAGCCAAUUAGUAGCAGCAGAGUUUAAGACUGUAAGGACAAUUCUGUUAUUCUGUUCUUUUUUUACAAAGAAUUUUUUUCAUCAAUUCUAGUUUAUAUGAAAUGGUGAGACAUGAAGACUUUCUCUGACUCUGUUCAACUGCUCCUAAUCAGAGGUUUUCAGCAUUUCAACAUAGCUGGGAAGCUUCCAGCUAAUAGAAAGCAACAAUUUCUUUUUCAUCUCUUUCUGUCACAGUAUGUUCGUGUGUUGGACUGAAUGGUCUGGUUAUGCUUAUAUCUGAUCCUAUAUUAGAGCAACUAUGAAGCUGUGCUAAAAAUGCAUGAUAACUUUGUUGCAGAAAUUCAAAUGCUAUAAACUCAGUGGUUUCUAGUUUUACAGUGGUGUAAUUUCAUGCAGUGAUAGCAGCAUAAAACAGGAAGAACAACACUCAAGUGAAGCAAGCCUUCAUCAUAAAUAAGUUUGUAAGAAACAGGCUGAGUAGAGGGGGGAUUCAUCCAUUGUUUAUUCAGUUUAACGUAAAAAAAAAAAAGUCUGUAGCUUUCAGCUUUUCAUAUAUUGUCAGAUUCCAAAAGUUAUUUUACAAAAACUUGGAAUUAAUAUGUUUAUUGUUAGGUCCUGUUAAUAACAGUUUUAUACUGUUUACUAACGAUCUGGGUAUCUGAACAGCCACUGUAACAAUCAUUUGGUUAAGCUUCUUUACUUGUGAUAACUGCUAGUUAUAAAAGAUAAUGACUUGGAAAUGAAAAUAUACAGCUCACAUGGGUAGCAUAAGAAAUUCUUUUAGCUAACUGUGUGAUUCUUUCUAUUCUGGUGCUUCAUGUUCACAAGAGGAACAAACCUAACUCUCCUGUACUCUACAAAGAACCUGAUGUGCAGUGUGCAUGAGCAUUUGCUUUGCUUUAUACGCUCUGCAUGACCAGAUAUGCAAGAGCAAAACAAAGAUAAAAGCUUUUUUCUCCUGAGCAUUUUGUGUUCAUAGAGACUAAUAGCCAAUUAAGAAAAAAGGAAAUAUUUGAUGGCUAAAAUCCAGUAAUGUUAUCCGUCCCAGGUCAAUUUGAUAUUUAAUAUGUUGUUUCCUCUUCAGCAGUUUUAUUACAAAGAGCAAUUUCAGUAUUUGAAGAGAGGGAGUAAACUAUUUCUGUCCUUCAUUCUGUCUUGUUUUUGUUUUACUGGUGCUGUUUUAUCAUUACAAUGUGCUUUUUUUUUUUUUUUAAUACAAAUAUAUAUAUACGCUUAUAGAAGAGAUUUAUUUGUAGUGUAAGGGCUUUAUUAAGAAUAAUAAUGACCUCCUGAAGAAUUUGUAUUUUAAAAAUAAUUUAAGUUAGAGGCUAUUGAGUUGUUAGAUUUUCCUUUCCAAAAAUGACAGUAAAAUAGUGGGAAAAGAAGUUGUAUAUUUUUCUGUGUGAAUAUGUUUUGGUAAAUUAAUGAUGGAUUUUUGAAUUGUAUUAUACAUUCAGUCAGAUUGCCCAAACGGUCAGAAACCUAAGUAAGUUGUCAGCAACCACAGUGAUGUAGACUCAUGAACAAUCAAUAACUACUGCAAGUUUAGUUGAAUAACUUUGCUUCUCUGAAUGUUUGCAUAUCCCUUCAUGACCAGUUGUCACAGCAAAAAUUUUUGUAGUGGACCAGAGUGCUGAAAGUGAAAAGUAAAUUUCAGUAAUAUUUUUUUCUAACUGUUAAAUGAUUACAUUAACAUUCUUUUCAAAGUUUUCUUUACAAGUCAUUUCUCAGAGCAAAAGCAGAAAAUGAUAAACAUUAUGUUAUAUUCAGUAGGUGUCACUGGUAGCAACCAAACAUGCUCAUAAGUCCACAAGUUUCCAGGAUUUCUUCACUUUAUCUGGCAAUACUGUUUCGUAUCACCUUUUAUAACUAAUGACUGGUAAAGAGGAACCACCCUUUUAUUGAAUCCAUCUCCCUUUCAGCUGAAGAGCCCAACAUUUUUGGUUUUUGAGUCUUUUUCGUAGCACACUGAUAACACUGAUAACAACAUGAAGUUGUCUUUUGCUUGUGUGAUAACUCAGAGAAGAUUUAUACAUGGAUUUAUUAUUAUAUUUUUUUGCUAGCAAGUUUUACCUGGUUUCAAAAAGUAAUUGCAAUGUAUCAUGAUAAAAUCUGAAAUCAUUAACAGAAUGAAGAUAUCAGCAGAGACAAAAUGUGCAGUCUCCGAGUUGUCUCCUGGAAGCAGAGAGGGUAUACCAUAGGAAGGGCCACUUCACACUUCUGUUCUCAGAUGCUACUGCCCAGAUAUGGAUAACAAGACAGAUAGACUUUGGUCUGAGUAUAAAACUGUGCCUUACUUAAUACAAACCUGAGAAAAAUCUUAGGGAAAUUAUUGAAAAGAUCAUAGAAUCGUGGAAUGGCCUAGGUUGAAAAGGACCAAAAUGAUCAUCUAGUUUCAACCCCCCUGCUAUGUGCACGGUUGCCAGCCACUAAACCAGGCUUCCCAGAGCCACAUCCAGCCUGGCCUUGAAUGCCUCCAGGGAUGGGGCAUCCACGACCUCCUUGGGCAACCUGUUCCAGUAUAUCACCACCCUCUGUGUGAAAAACUUCCUCCUAAUAUCUAACCUAAACAUUCCAUCUUAGUUUAAAACCAUUCCCCCUUGUCCUACCACUAUCUCAACUCUCUACAAAAGUCAUCAUACCUCUUUGGCAGAAAUUUGUUUUACAGCCAAGUUUGCAUAAACAGGAGACCUGAAACCUCUCCCGCAGAUAUCCAUUAUCUCCACUAGCAUCAAUAUCUUUGCAGACUAUGCAAAUAUUCUUCAGUUCCUAUUCCCUUUCUUCAAUAUAAUUUCGAAUUCAGAGAUUACAAAAACUAAAAUAUAUAUUUUGCCCUUCAUGCAGCUAGAAUUUCUUUCCAGAGUAUUCUGUCUUUUCAGUCAAAAUGGUUUUCAACUGGUUAAAAUCCUCUCAUCCCCAGUGGUUUGCACUGAAAAAAAUGUAUAUAUAUAUAUGUAUGGCCUGUGGUGUUCCUUGGAUUAAUAGUUCAGGUCUGGUUCAAAAAGUACCUCUGCUGUUUCAGAUCACAGACUAAAAAAGAAAAUGUACUCAGCUAAAUCUCUUUAAACAUAAUGAUUAAGCAAUUCAUAUAUAUAAUCCAUGAGUUGGAAAUGCUGGACCCAGUCCUGGAAAUGCAGAUGCUUUUUCAGGCGCAUGCCUUUUGUUAUGUUUCAAUGAUUGUAUUCCUGUUGCAAAAUAUCGGGAUCAUGAAAAAGACUCAGUGCUUCUGUCUAAUUUUCUAUCCAGUAUGAAUUUUGUGCAUCUUCUUUUAACACUAUCACUUAUGCUUAUUGAUACUGUUAUAAAAGCAGAGCCUGGGAACAAAAUAUUUGCAGCCUCUCUAUCUUGCCCACUGGUUAUGAUGGAAUUUACACAUUCCCUUCCAAAUCACUGCUCACGAUAAAAAUGGACUGACAAAUAUUUCUUUUCUGUUUGGAUUUUGGAGGACAUAUCCUCAUGCAUAUUCAGUAUUACUCCAGUGUCUUUGUGAGAUUUAGAAUGGCUGUGAUAGCUGUUUCCUCUCAUACCAAGGAAAAUCCUAGCCACUGGAGCUGUGGUGAGAGAACAAGUUCAGUUUCAUGCUAGAUGACCCUUCCACAUUCUGGUUAGAUGUAUCAAGGAAAGGAAAGGACGUCAGAGGUAUAAAAGUCAAAUUCUCUGCAUUUAUUCUGGGCCUACUCAUAGUAAAAAGUGUAAGCUUUACCUUCAAAAAAAUAUCUCUGUUGUACCCAGGUUAAUAUAAAGGUUAACUAUAGCUGUAUGUCUACUCCCCAGACCCCAGAGGAUGGUGAUAUUUUACAGGCAGACUUGCUUUAAUUUCCUCUGGGAUGCUGAACAUUUGUUCUAAUUAGGGAUCUGAAGUUUAGCUCAAAACACCAGAACACUUAAAUAUAUGUUCUCUUAGUAUUUAAUCAAAAUGUACAUUCUCUAUCUUACACCAGAAUCCUAUUGUGCCAAGUAGAAUAUAAACACAGGAAAAAAAAAUUGCCCUUGCUCAAAGAGAUUAUGGGACAAGAGGUGGCAGGUUUCUGUAGACAGAUGGGAAAGCAGGUUGAAGCAAGGAGAAAGAGCUGCUCAGCUGAAGAAGCAGCAUUGCCAGCAUACCAGGGACUUAAUCACUGUCAAGCAGUGGAAAUUUUCAAGGAGGGUUUUAAAGAAGGUUAAAGAGGUAUCUCUGUGAAUGCUUAAAGGGAACUCCUAUUACACAAGAGGCAAGUCUGAAGACAUUUUCUAUUUGAAAGUACAGUUAGUAGCAAUGCAAUUGUCGUAAAUUGAUAAAGAACAGAAACUGUGGUAAAAGAAAAAAUAAAAGAUAAUAAUUAGGCUUUUAUUUAUUUAUUUAUUUAUUUGAAAAUUAAAUGAAGACAAGUCAGUUAAAGUUUAUAUUUAAGUGAGCUACACAAGUAGUGUUGCUAUUGUCAAAGCAAUGCCCUGGGAAAGUGAUCUUUGUAAAAACAGUCAGUGUUUGAAGGAUACAAUUGGCUUUCUUAAAGUAAGACUUCAGUGUCUUCUGGAGAGCUCUUAGGAACUGUGAAUAGGAAUCUGCUCAAUCAUGUGAAGUGCAGGAAAAAAUCUGCAUAUCUUUUUGUUGUUGUUUUUAUGCACUUUUGUACAAGUUCAGUUUAAAUAAACUUAUUUCUAUUUUCUUUCAAAUGAAAUGUUUAUUUUCCUGUGUGCCUUAAAAGCUUCAAGUGUCUUGUAAUUUUCCAUCAGGUUUGUAUUCCAUUAUGACUAAUUCUGUAACAGAAACCUUCUUAUCAUUCAACUACUCCUACAAGCUCAGCAUGAAUAACUUCAUUAAGCUAUUUGCUACAUAUUUUAUAGAAAUAGUUCUCUGCCAUACUACUUCCCAUUGAGGCAUGACUGUGAUUGAGUUAAGGAAUUUGCAUUGAAUUUAAAAAAUUGUCUUAAUGGCAGGACAAGGGGAAAUGGUUUUAAGUUGAAGGAGGGAACAUUUAGGUUGGGUUUCAGUGGAAGUUCUUUACUAUGAGAGCAAUGAGUUGCUGGGACAGGCUGCCCAGAGAGGUUGUGGAUGCCCCGUCCCUGUAGGUGUUCAAGGCCAGGUUGGAUGGGGUCCUGUGCAGCCUGGUCUAGUAUUAGAUAUGAAGGUUGGCAGCCCUACCUGUGGUAGGGGGGUUGGAGCUCAGUGUUUCUUGAGGUCCCUUCCAACCCAAGCCAUUCUGUAAUUCUAUAAUUCUAUGAUUCUAUGAUUCUAUCAUUCUAUGAAAAGUAUUGGAAAAAGUGAAGGCAUCAAAAUCAAAACUCGUAAAGAUCUGUAGGACAAACUAUUCCUAUUUCUCAUCUCAAAAUAUUUUUUAAGUUAGUCUUUACUUCUCAAGUAUUUAAGAGAAAAGUGACUUUGAGUUUAAUCAGAUAUUUUCAUUUUAGUUCUCGAAUUUUUCCUAUAGAUUUAUAGUAGAUUAUACAGUACAUCAUAUUGUAGAUUAUCUUGGGAGGCUUAGUUUAUUCAUCAGAUCUAAUAGUGAAACUUCUUUUUUCUUUUCAAAAACAGAGCAUUGAUCUGUCAAAUGUUAUAAUGUGAUGAUAGAUCAAAUUUAUAUUACAUCCAAAAUUACAUAGAUUGUCUAGAUUCUCUAUCUACUGUGUUUAUAUUAUGUAUGCAGACAUAUAUGAGGCUUAUUACACAUUAGAGUAAAUGAGUAUAAUAGUUCUAUAAUUUUCAUACUCUCCUUCAGUGUAAGCUUUAUGCACGUAGUGGAUGUUGGGUGACCUAGAAGUUGUGUGAUGAAAAGUGUUUGUAUAACAACUACGUAUUUUUCUCUCCUUGUCUGUCUAUCAUGAGAAGUCUUGUGCUUUCCCCAACAGUAAGAGAGAGCUUCACAGAUUUUAAUCUUUAAUUCACCACCAUAUGGAUGAAUUAAACAUAUUAGCCAAAACUGUCAAUGGGAAAAGUGUAAAUUUAUUACAGGACUACUCUAUGAAAUUUAUUUAAGAGAAUCUGGCAAGGCUUCACAAAUCUAUUUUUAUAGAACUCAGAGAUUUUUGAAAACAGUGUGAAAAAACUCAGUGUAGGCCGAAGUAUUUGUCAUGUGUAGCCCACACACUAUUAAUAAUGAUGCAAAAAAUGUUACACUUGUGAUGCAAGCCCAACUCAAAGCUCUGCAACAAGAAAGUAAGCAGUACCCUCUUUAUUUGUUGCUAAGGCAUCAACUUUAAUUCCUAAUUAUUCUCUUGUGCCAAAUGCUGAAUUGCUGCAAAAACUCUUUGGAAUAGCAGCACCACCCUACUCGCUAUUAUUUGCUAUUUAUGCAGAUAGUUCUGUGUCUUCUAAACAGUGCACAUGUGUAGAGUUGAUACUGUGGGAAUAAGGAAUGCCAUGUCUGAUUCAUUAGUUGAAAUUACUUAUCAUAAUUCAUUAUUUAUUUUGAUUUAUAAUGGAUAGAACAAAGCUACCCAGGGCUACUUUAGCAUGAAUGAUAAAUGGAGUCUCAUAAAACGAUUAAACUGGCAACUACUGCUUGUCUAUUAAGUGGACAGUAAUUAAUGUAAAAUUGAGAAAAUUCCAACCAAUGAUUCCCUCAGUCUUUUAUGUGCAACUCUAAUUACAAAAUCUGGCUAUUCUUCCCCAAAGCUUGGAAACCUCUGGAAAAUUUUUAGCAAAUGAUUAAGAAUCAAAUUAAGGCCUUGUGUGGAAUUGGGCACUUUUCUUAGUAUGAUCAACAAAACUUAAUCUUCGACGUCAGCAGCCAAUUUAAUCUCAAGUCUGCAAGAGAAUAAAAAGCUGUGAUGGAAAGGUCUGAGUGAAAAACACUGUUGUUCUAACUCAGGGAAUCUGUAAAAGAUCUAUAACUUCUCAAGCUGUAAAUGGUCUCUCCUGAUGUUAACAUAGUACACUCUGAAUAACUACAACUCCUUACCAAGAAUAGAAUAGCUUCCUAUAUUGUUAAACAUAAUGAUAUUAUAUAUCAAGUAAUGAAUUUGUACCUCAAACAGUUAUAUUGAAAAGCGCCAUGAAUACGUGCGUGUGUAUGUGUAUAUUCACAUACAUACUCAUAUAUCCUAGUGUUUUUCAGUAAUCUUACAGCAGAACUAUAUUGGAAAAGAAAAGUAUAUCCAUUGUUCACAUAUUUUCACUGUUAUUUUUUGAUGUUGAGCAUUUAUAUGCUAAAGUAUUACAAUUUCUUUCUGCCUAGUCAAUCUAUUAUUCUAAGUUACUUCAGUGCAAAGAUAAAAGUUUAAUUUACUGAACAGAAUGUAAAUAUUCUCUCUCUUUUUGGAGCAAGAAGAAUUUCUUGAAAAUAACUGUCUGCCUUCCUAUUCACAGAAAUAUCCUUACAAAAAUAUUAAAGGAAAUAAGUUAUCUAUUGUUGUUUCAGGAAUUUGCAAGUGCAGCUGUUCUUAGCAUUGUGAGUCACUACAUAUGAAUGUGAUGCAGGAUUUACCUUUGGAAGACAGUUUCCAGAGCAUCCAUGCCUUGGUAUUUUGUGAAAUCACAUGAUCUGGAGCACUUUAUGUCUGUGCUUUUGAGAGAAAUGACAUUUAGUGACCAGUUACUCAUUAUCUCUGAGACAUUUCUUAAAUGUGAUCUGCACCAUUGUGUCAGUAUAUCCACAGGUUAAAAGGAAUAUUGGUACUUUUGUUCAGUGAAUUUUGCAAGGGAUAACACAUCCCCCAAUGCUUCCCAAAGUCUUUCUGCUGCUCAGUGUGGUCUUUGAAUGAGAACUAUAGCAGCACCUCACAGCUGACGGAGGCAUCCUUCAUUCUUCCCUGGCAGUCAUGCAACAAAAUAAUGAUGUGGAAUGCAUGUAAAUGUAUAUGCAUCACCAAUAUGAUGCCACUGAAAGAAUUCAGCCACCUAAAAACAGUAUAUCUUAAGCAGGCUAGUGAAUAUAUGUAAGUAUAAUACUAGUUGUUCUAUCAGCUGUAUAGCUAAUGAGAGUGCCUGAUUUCCUACAGACUUUUGUCCUUUAAUCUUCCAGAUCUGUCUUCCAUGGCAAUAACAUCUGUUCCUUCCUGGAUCUGUCUGUGACACCCCUGCAGAUAAAGCAUUUUGUCAUUAGUCUGCAACGAGAUAUGCUCAGAUUGCCUGGCCCAGCUGCCUUCAGAUGGGAUGUGUUGCUGUUAUGUUCCGUCUACCUUCCUCUCAGGAAAUUAUAUCUCAGGAUGUAGCUGUGACAAUAGUUUUCUGUUUACCUCUCCUUUUUCUAGUCUCCAAUUAUACGAAAUCUUUUAUAAAGAUUCUGACUUUUAUAGGACAGGUUAUCUUUGAACUUUCUAUCACUUUACUAGAUCUAUCUGAAACUGGCCUUGCAAAAUGGCAUCUGACAUGGAAGUGCGUAUGAAGCAAAGGUGUGUAAUUGAAUUUUUCUAUGCAGAAAAAAUGACACCCACUAACAUUCAUUGAUGCUUCCUUUUAUGGAGAUUUAUGGAGACCAAAGUGGAGAUGUGAGUACACUGAGGUGGUGGAUAGUGUGUUCUGUAGCAGUGACAGUGACAUGAAGGACAAAAGCCAUGUUCCAGACAGUCACAUGCACAGCUGUCAUACCAUAAAAUAAAGUGAAUCUUCAUGAGAUCAUCACAUAAAUUGGCUAAUGUUGGUGGCUAUUUUCAAAAGCAGCAUUUUGUAGCUGAAAAUACUCCUUUUUGAAGAGUGUUAUUGUGCUUUUUGCAGUUUCCAUGGAAAUAAGUAGGAGACAUUAAUUUUGGAGCAACCUCCAUAUAUUAUAAUUGAUAAAAUGAGAAUAAUCUGUAUGUAGUACAUUCAUAAAUAUGGCUAAGGUUCAUAGCAUACUGUCUAGUCUGCAAUCUUCACCAUAUGACUCCUAUAAGUAAAUGUACGUAGUACGUUUUUCCAACAAGCAUAUCACAGUAUUUGAAAUUCUUUUUAUCAGUGUCCUGCUUGUAUGUUAUUUCCAUUUAUGGACUUGCAUGCAGGAUUUUGAUUAACAUGCACAGUGCCAGCAGUUGUACAGAGUUUAUGUAAAAGUAAAAAUAAGCAUGUUGACUUGUGUCCUAGAGUUACUUUGAAUAGCCAUUCAAACUUUUGCUUUUCUAUAGCUUCUUGCAAUGUUUUCACACACUGUGUAUUUCAGGAACCCACCAUGCAGAGGCUAAUAUUGUAGGUAACUUCUCUGUUAUAGAUUUUGCCAUAUGAAGAGGAUGAAAUGGGAAGUUGCUAGAUUUUUAUUACACAUACCUAAAAGCACAGAUUGUAGAGGAGGCAAAGAAAACACUAGCACACAUGAAAAUAAUUGGCUUAGUCUAUUACAUUUUUCCUUUCUGAAUUAUGCAUAGAUAACAUAACAGAUUACUCCUCUCUGCCCCCUAACAAUUCAUCACUUGAUAGAUAGAUAGAUAGGUGGAACUUCAGAAAUAAAUUACUACCAUUAGGAAAAAAAUAAUCAAGUGUAAGAACUUGAUUACCACUGCAAGUAUUGUCCCACUAUUAAAUCUGCAGUGUGUGCUGCAUACAAAUGCCGGAGUUGUGUGGUAAAUAAUAAAAUGGAUGGCCCUACUACCGUGUGCUUACUAAUUAACUAGCACUGAAAGUAGCCUUGUCAUGAGAGAAUUGUCAUCACCACUGUAACUAAGAAGCAAAUGAUUUUUCUUCUGUGACCAAAAGAUUAAUAUAGAAACAGACUGGCAAUGGAUGUCACUGGGAAUAAAAUGAAAGGUCACAGAAGACUCUCAGGUAUCAAAGACACUUUUUUAUUCUGUAUCAAGCUUUUGGGCAAUAUAACAUUACCAGACUUGCAGUUUUUUACUAGUAGCCCUAAAGUGUAUGGACAGUGACAAAGUGAAACAGAAAGGAAGAGUUUAAGCAGGCAGUGCUGCCAAGGUCCAUUAGUUUUAUUCUAUAUAAUCAUUUUUUCUGCUAUUCUUCCAAAAUCUUUUUUAGUGUUUCUGAAGCUUGCAAUAACUUUUGCCUCUGCGUUCUCUUGAAAUCUCUGUAUUUAUAAGCAGCAGUGAAAAUGGUAAGAGAAUUAUUAGAAAAUUAGUGUUUUACGAUUUGCUGUGAUAAUUCUGUAUUAUUUUAUUAGAAUAGACUUAUCUGAAAGUCAGACAAAUGUAAUACAGUUAUCCCGGACAGUCUCAUUUUCCUUACUGUUGUUAACAACAUAUGUCUUUUUGAACAGCUGUUUUUUAACAAAUAGUUGAAACUGAUCUUAUGCUUGAUUCUAUGCUUCUCAGAGUUGUUGCACUAAGAUAGCUGAUACUGGAAGUAAACUGUAAAGCAUGAUUUGAUUUUAAGAAACUAGGUAUUAUAGUAACUUUUAAUAGGAAACAUAGCAGUUAAAGGGAAUUAAAUAUCUGUUGUUAGUGGCUGUAAUUUAGGAGUGCAGCCUCUGUGUAGAGGUAACUAUAAGUAAUUGAAAAAGAUCUAAUAUAACACAUUUCUAAAUGUAGGAAACAUAAAUAGUUAUUCUUGGUUUUGAAGAUAACGAAUGAUGAGAAAGGAUAAUAUUUUAACACUGUGAGGAUGCAGAUUGUAAUGUUCAUUCCUAGAGAAACAGUUGUUCUUGUAAGGAUUAUGGACCCAACUAGCAAAGAAAAAACUUAAUGUAUUUUUUUUCCUAGGAAACAAAACAUCUCUCUGUUACCCAUAAAUAUCAUGCAGUUUUUCACCAAGUAAUGUACCUCACACAGCAGUAAUACCACAUAAGCCUCUGUACUGUGUCCAAGUAUGGAGCCCCCAGUACAAGAAAGACAGAGAGCUGUUGGAGAGGGUCCAGAGAAGGGCCACAAAGAUGAUCAGGGGGCUGGAGCAACUCCCCUACGAGGACAGGCUGAGGGAGCUGGGCUUAUUCAGCCUGGAGGAGAGAAGUCUGCGGGGUGACCUCAUUGCAGCCUUUCAGUACCUGAAGGGAGCCUAUAAACAGGAGGGGAGUAAACUCUUCAAAAGGAUAGAUAACAGCAGGACAAGGGGGGAUGGUUUUGAGUUGAAAGAGGGAAGAUUUAGGCUGGAUGUUGGGGGGAAGUUCUUUACCAGGAGAGUGGUGAGGUGCUGGAACUGGCUGCCCAGAGAGGUUGUGGAUGCCCCAUCCCUGGAGAUGUUCAAGGCCAGGUUGGAUGAGGCCCUGGGCAACCUGGUCUAGUAAAUGAGGAGGUUAGUGGCCCUGCCUGGCAGGGAAUUUGGAGAUUCAUGAUCCUUGAGGUCCCUUCCAACCCAGGGCAUUCCGUGAUUGUGUGUGAUUCAUGUCAGGAAGAUGACUGACAAUAAGGAUGUACUACCAGACUGCCCUUUCAAGCCUAGUGCAUUUUAUUCAGUAACAUCCAUAAAUUUGUUCACAGUUCUCAAUGAACAUUUUAAAAAAUGUUUAGCAUAUGUAUAAUAUUGAGAAUUUAGUAGUUAUAGGAUAAAUGUCCUUAGGCCCAAGAUACUAGUUAUUUGUAAUUGUUUUGUAGUGUGGGGAAAAAAUAUGGCAGUAGGAAAAUUACACGCUGCCUGCAGUAUAAUGCAAGGUGCUCAGUCUUUCAGUAAGCACUUCCUUUGGUGUAACAAUUCAUUAUCACAAAUUCAUAGAAUCACAAAAUGGCUUAGGUUGGAAGGGGUCUUAAAGAACAGCUAUUUCCAAGCCCGCUGCCACGAGCAGGGUUGCCACCCACUAGAUCAGGCUGCUCAUCCAACCUGGUCUUGAAUGCUUCAAGAGAUGAGGAAUCCACAACUACUCCCGGCAACCUGUACCAGUGCAUCACCACCCUCUGAGUAAAAAUUUUUCCCCUAAUAUCUAAUCUAAAUCUCAACUCUUUUAGCUUGAAACCAUUUCUCCUUUUCCUAUCACUGUCUGCCUGUGUGAAAAGUUGAUCUCCCUCCUGUUUAGAAGUUCCUUUUGAACUUUGAAACCUUUGAAAGGCUGUAAUGAGAUCGCGUUUCCCUUCUCCUAACUUUACAGGCCCAGCUCCUCAGACUUUCUUUAUAAGAAAGGUUCCCCAGCCCUUUGAUUAUCUGCAUGGCCAUACUCUGGACCCCCUCCAACAGCUCUGCAUCCUUUUUGUGUUGGGGGCCACAGACAUGGACCAGUAUUCCAGAUGGGGCCUCACAAGGGCAGAGCAGAGGUGGACAAUAAUCUCCCUCUCCCUGUUGGCCAUCCCUCUUUUGACACAUCCCAGGAUACAGCUGACCUUCCAUCUGAAAGGCUCAGUGAACAACACUUUUUAAAAUUAAAUUAAAAAACAAAAUAAAACAAAAAACUGAUUCUGGACUCUAGGGCAGAAUAAAUUUUAUUGGCAUGUGUUUUUUGGAUAUUUUAGAUGACCUCCAUAGGCCCCUUCCUACCUCAUCCAUUUUGUGUUUUUGUGCUUUUGCAAUUUUGAAUCAUUUAUGUACAAAUGUAAUGCAUAUGCACCUGAACUCCAUAAAAGACACACUCUCAACCUAAAACUAAAGCAUUAGUAGUUGUAGCAAUUAAUGGUAAUCACUGAUCAAAAAUCCUCGGCAAUAUUUACAGUGGAAGAAUAAUCACUCCAUUAUAGUCUUUGACCAUAAUUUCCAGUUGUUUAUUAUUACAUGAUUUCUAGAAAUCUAUAGUAUUAAAUGUCAAGCACAGAAUGUUGCAGGUGCAAAUACUGUUUAAUUCCUGAGUAAAAGUCAAGAGAAGGGGGAAAAAAAUUACAUUUCUGCAUUAGAAACAACAUAAAUAUACAUUGUAGGUUAAGAUUAGUAUCAUCUAUCAUUAAUAUAAAUACUGUAUCACAGAAAAUAUUCAGGAAUUUUUAUUAGCUGAAUGAUACAGUGAUUUUUUUUCAGUUGAUGGAUAAAGAAAGUAAUCUGCAGCUUAGGGGCACUGCAAAAGAUAAUAGUGGAUAUUUUAGCAGGGAAAUAUUUUACAUAAUUUUAUAAUUAUUUGUACAUAACAGCCUUUGUGUAAUGAAGUGACAUGCCUGAAAAUCUCACUUAACACCCCUCUACUAAUACGGGGAAGUGAAAAGAAAACAAAGAACCGGGUAGGUAUUUAGAUAAUUAGUUCUUUUUGCUUUCAUUGUGCACCAGACAAAACCAUUGGCAGCUUAAACCUAUCCAGUUUCUUUGACAUCUAUCUGUAAAGUUGCUCCUGGUAAUAUCAGCAGUAGACUUUCAACAUCCAACAGAAAAGGACAAGCAAAUAUCAGUUUUGGCGUAGGCACUCUUCUUUAUUUCUGUAGUCAUUUCAAAUAUUUGUUUCUAGAAAUCUGCAAAUUGUACCUCUCAGAAUACAUCUGGUAAUUACUACUCAGAGGGAAAUUUGGGGGAACCGACAACUCUGAGUAUAUUUGGGUAUUACAGUUGGGGUUUCAAGUGUAUUGGAUGAGAUUGGCUGUAAAUCUAUUUGUUGCAUUAGCUAGAUUAGUUUCUGAAAGUUUGUGUGGUUAUCUUGAAAAGAGAUACAAAUGAACAACUUUCCCUUUAAAUUAGGUGUGGGUUUUUUUGUUUGUUUGUUUGUUUUAAAAUUGCACUAAAUUCAUUUCCUUUAAGUAUGUAUGAGAACUCCAGUACAUAAGCAAAAUGUAAAGAACAGACCCAUGUAAUACAUAGGUGAAAUUUCUUAGAACACAGCUGUUAAGUAAGCAGAGGAACUUUGGUAAAAAGAAUUACAAAAGAACUUUACAGAUUUGUACUAAAUAGAACAAAGGCAUCUGAUGGAAGUGAACAAUAUGCUCAGAAAUGACAGCAUGAGAAAUAUCGUCUUGGAUUCUUCUUCAUAAGUUAGUUGAGCAGUAGCAGUAAACAUUUUCCAAAUUUGUCAAGCUAAAACGCUGUGGAGUUUAUUUUUAGAGUAUUCAUAGUUUAUUUAGAAUUAAGACCUGUAAUUUCCAGCAGCUGUCAUUCUCAGUAUAUGGAUGCCAGUGCUGAUGCCCAAGUGGCAUUCUCAUUAACAGAAGUUCUUCUAAUUUGCAUAUCUAUAUAAAAUUACUAUAAAUCAUCUUUUGCUGUUGUCUAGAUAACAUUUUUUAAAAGACAGUUGCUAUCUUGAGCCAGAGAGAAAAUUCUUUAAGAAAAGAAGUGUCUGUUGGGAUCUGUAACCAUGGUUACUAGAAAGCCUACUUGCUAUAAUUUGUUGUAAUUUUUAAAAAUCUAAUCCCAAUUUAGUUUUUCCUUCUCAAAAUAUAAUGGAAUCUAUAAUCAAGUAUCUACAAUAAAAUGUGUUGUGCUUCUACUUAGUGUUCAAAUUUUUGAGAGAGAGAAAUGCUGUGGUUUAUCAGUUCUAUUUAAAUAAGGUUUUGUUUUAAGUAAAAAGACUUUAUCAGGAUGAUUCUAACUGUGGAUUUAUGUUUGCAUAUUCUUGAUCCCACUUAGUAUCUUGAAAAUAUUUGUGUAAGGCACUUUUAAUGAAGCUCCGAUAACAAUUCUGGUUGCAUGUUUUCAUGUGCUCUCCUUUUAUCAUUGAUAGUGUCGUAUCAUCCCAUGUUGUUUUUAUAAUCCUACUUUUGGUACCUAAAACCUACAUCCAAUACAGAUAAAAAGUGUAAAUACUUGCAGGGAUUUCUGCAAAUCAGGGCUCUUUUGGAAGAAGAAAUAAUAAGUCAACUCUUCUCAGAUUGGAAUAAAGAGUUGCUCUCUUUAAUUACAUUUUAGAACUGGAGAACUUUAAAGUCAAGCAUUAGCAAUCUUUCCAUUGGGGAUUUAAAUAAAAUAACUAAUUAGCCCCUGAGAGAGAAAAGGAGUCCCAUGAAGUUGAGCAUUUGGCUUCAUGUUUUCAUGACCUCUGUGGAUUAUGAAGGUUUUAUUUUGUAAGCGAAGAACUGUUUUGUCAGAAAAUGUUAUUUGAGGGUUUUCCUUCAUGAGCUGAUUAAAACCUGUAGUGUCUUUGUUCAGAGAUUGACCAAGUGUAGAUUUCUGGGAAUUGAGGCCCAGAUACUGAAAGAAAAUCAUGUUUGCCAAAAGCCUUGGCACUGUGUGCUUGCUGAAUGAAACAUACAUUCUCCAUAUAACUUUCAGUCAUAGUAAUUGUCUUGUUAAAGACAUUUUUAUAUUUUAGUCUCACUUCCAAGGCAAGUAUGGCAUUUACUUUUAAUUCUUGGAGGAGAUACAAAUUACAGUCUCUUCCUGCACUGUUCUCUUUUUCUUACAUUCUUUGAAAGAUCUCUCUUCUACAGGAGGUCUGAAAUACUUGCCCAUUUCAGUAUCUGAAUUUCAUGAGUGGGUCCAGAGGACAUAAACACACCCCUUAAUCCUAAUAUUUGCGAACUUCAUGGAAAAAGCUUUUGAAUAAGCUAAGUAGAAAAAAAAUAGUGAACUUCCUACCACUCACUAUUUCUCAUGUCCACAUCAGUAAUUGAUUGCUGUUUCAGAAACCACCAUUAACUUAGAAUAUCACAAAUGAAAUGGAGAGAUUUCAAUAUCAAUCAAAACUUCAAUAUAGGAAUAGAUUAAAUAGUUUCUAUGUUGAAGUCUAUCCAUUUGAAGAAUCACCCAAAAGGCAAGCUGUCUCCUUUACAGAAUUUAUGAACUUGGAAGCAUCUUUCUAUCAAGAGAGAAUAUAUGAUAUAAACCCAGGACAAUCAAUUUCUGUAAAAUAUAUCCAGAUUUUAUAAAAGACUCAUGAUGGAAGAAAACAAAGUGGUGCAAUUAGUGCAAAUCAAUGUGCCUGAAGCAAGAAGACCUAAGAAUAUCUUCUACCCAUAUUUCUACUCUUCAAAAUUUAACACUUUCUCCUACACAAUUUCAUACAGUAUUUUCUUACAAAUGAACUUUGAAGUGUAGUUCAGUCUCAUGUAUGACAUUUUGCCAAUAAAUUUCUUUGAAACCAGUGUACCUGUGACAGAAAAAUGUCGGCAUGAUUUAUUCUACAGGUGCAGAUCUGCCAUUCUAUUCUAGCUCUUGUAGUUCCUUUUGGAGUUCCUGCUUUAUUAAGUUCUUUCUAGGGAAAAAAAUUUGUUCCAUGGCAAUUAUGAUCUUCAGACAGCUCAAAAUAUUGAACUGGUUUAAAAAUAACACUCCUUUAUUAAAGAGAGACCUGAAUAAAGGGUAGUAUAUCAUUAUGUAAUUAAAAGGCAUAUCAAAAAUUCAUAUGUACAAGGGAUAUGACUUUGAAAGUUCAAAUUUAACUUUUGAAUCUCUGUUUUUUGAUAAGGGAAAAUUAAUUUUGCAUGAGUGUAGAAUCUCCCAUGGAACUUAACUUAAAAUUAAAAUAUAUAUAUGUAUACAUUUUCCUUUCCAUAAAAAUGUUUGGAUUUAUAAAUCUGUUCUUUAACUCACCUUAGUCUUUUUUUUUUUUUUUUUUUUUUUACACUGUUUUAUUUCAUCUCUGGGUGUAUAAUUAAAAGUGAAAUUGCCCUCUCCUUCUCUGUUGUGAUAUAGCAUCUCUGUCUCAACCUUUCUCCAGAAGAGGCUUUUAUAUUAUUGUGUUUCAACAGACGUUUUAGCAUCAUGCAGGCAUAACCUUUUAAACAACUACCAGAAGCUAGUAAGGAUUUUCUAGAACUUGAGAGUUUUCUAUAAAGUGUUCGAGUGUUUUCCAUAAAGAGUUUUCAAAGAAUUUAUAUUCUCAGUUGCUCUUACUUGGAAUAUGUCUUGGUCCUGAAAACAUUGUAACUUGAAAAAAAGUAUCAAUUUGGAUAAUCCCCUAUAUUUGGUUUUACCAUGGGCUGAAGACUCCCUCCGGCCACAUGCAUUGCACUCUGGGCUCCUCCAUGGGCUAUGCGUGAAGAUAUGCUCCACAUGCUGCCUGUGGGCUGCAGAGAGACAGCCUGCUCUGCCAUGGUCUUCUGGAUUGCUCUGUGCUCUAUGCCUCCUGCCCUCCUUCUGCUCUGACUCUGGGGGGCUACAGGGCUGUUUCUCUCACAUUUCUCACUCCUCUCUCUCAGCAGCCAUUUUCUCUUUCUUUGGUCUGCUCUCAGAAAAGCACAAUCGGAGUUACUCAUGGCUCAGCUCUGCCCAGCAGCAAGUCCCUUUUGUAACAUAAACCCAAUACACAAAAUGGUUAUUCUUUUCUACUUUAAAAAAAAAAAAAAAAAAAAAAAAAAAAGUUGAGGUUGUAUAUAGAAUAUAAAGCUUUGUUUCCAGUCUGCUGAGUCCCAGUACAAUAGAAUCUUUGACAAACCUGACAGAGUCCAAUGGAGGACUGCUAUACUUGCUGGGUGGCUGCAACACAGGAUGUACAGGAAAUGUACAGGAAAGGUGCAGGAGCAGUUCUUGUUUAGCCUGAGGAGGAGCUGGGGAAGAGGAAUACAGCUGCACUUUUCUAAUCCCAAAUGAUUGUUAUAGAAAGGAACUGACUCUUUAGCACUGCAAAAGAAUGGUUGCAGACUGCAGCAAUAGAAAUUCCAGUGAGUUAUGAGAAAAAUGAGUGUUGCUGAGAGUGGGUGUUUUGACACUGGAGCAGGUAACCUAAGUGGAGUCUUCACCCUUGAAGUUUUUCAAAAUGUAUUUGGAUACUGCUAUGUGCAAAGUUAUCUGGUUUUGAAUCUACCUCUGUCCUGAGCAGGUCUGGACUAGAUGACUUUCGGAAGUCCCUUGUGAAGUAAUUUUUCCCAUGUUUCUAUAAUAAUUUCAUCCUACCUAAGAAGUUUGUUUUUGUUUUUGUUUCUGUUUUUUUUUUUUAAUUAUUACAACAUUCUAAUCUGUUCUAAAUUCUAUAAUUUGUGAUUGCAGUUCCACAAUUUCAUGUUCAUAAGAAUUCCAUGUCACAGUCAAGUUAGGAGGGUGAACUUUAAUCUGGGUGUCUUUUUACACUUUUUACUUUUGUCAUGUUCUAAAGCCAUAGUUGAAAAACCAGCUUCAGAAAAACUGAAACAUCUGUGCAUUUCUGUGGUGCUAUAUUUUAGUACUUCUUCCCUGAAGUGUUUAACUACCACAAGAAAAUUAUAUUCUGCCCAGGGCAAUGAUCGCUUUAUACAUAAUAAAGGUUUUGCUGAUUUGCUCUUUGACUGAAAUUGGCAAUCUUGUAUUUUGACACUACACAGUGUCAACUGCACUGCAUUCCAGGCAUAUACCAUGGGCAUCUGAUGUUUUUGACAUACCAAAAGCUUUCAUUUAAAAGUAUUAACUUAUGUCUCUUCCUUAUAGAUUAGUGCCAAUUGAAAUAUUGCUGGAGAUAAAUUGUUACAUGCUAAGAAAACUAUGGAUGGAUAGCUGACUCUGAUUUGUGUCUUGAAAAGCUUUUACUGCAAUAUACCACAAUAGGUUGCAGUACAGUACACACUGGCAUUGUCAACUAGUUGAAAUGGUAUCAGUAUGUCCAUAUACAUUGUUACGUAACCUGGAACAUAAUUGCCACUGUGAUGAAAUCAAAGCCAUUCACAAUUUUUAUUUUAAGUACUUGCUGAAUUGUUUACUAAUACCUACACAAGUCCUACUAACUGAGUCAUAUCCUUUCUAUAUACCACUUAUGUACUCUUUACCAAAACAAGCCAUUAUCUGAUUUGGGGGGAGAUCAUUAUUGGUUAGGAGUAUGCAUUCUUCAGGGAGAUUAAUAUAGUCCUUCCAAGGAAAAAAGGUUUUUGUAGUACUGUAGAUUAGUUUCUAGAGGGCUACUGUAUAAUAGAAUCUAACUGUGGUAUUUUGAUUCUGUUUAAAUUCUUCUGCUCUAAACUCUUUUCCUACCCUGACUUGGCUGAAAAGUUUUCCCUAGUCUUCAGCAAUCUGUUGACCUAAAGUGCUACCAUUCAAAUGGGAGCUAUCAAGGUUUUAUUGUUCGUUCUCUAGGAGACCCAUGACAUGGCCUUGAUGCCAUCUACAGAGAUGUUUAAUGAUGCAGCAACUUCAUAGCCUCAAUUAGAAUUCUACUUGCAUACGGAGAGAUUCUCUGAAUUGUCAUAUCCUCAAAUCGCAUCUCCUCCGUUAUGUAAAUGAAGUGUAAAAAUGGCUUACAGCUCCUACAAGAUGCACUGCUAUACAGAGAGCUGCUCAUAAAAUUACUGAAUAGAAUGAAUGGAUUAAAAACCUUCACACUGUUACUUUCAGUGGAUUAAAUCUCCAUACCUUUUAUUUCAAGUUAAUCAGCAUUUUGUAUUGCGGGACAAAAAACCACCAACUCUGUUCACUAAGCCUCAGUAGUGGGAAUCAAUAUCAUGCUAAUAAACUUCCAUUGCCGUGAACAAACUGCUGAACUUUUAGAGAUGCUAAAUUGCAAUUCCUAAAUAUGUAAUAUUUUUGUUCUUUUCAUAUUAAGCAUAGAAGUUUAUUAAACUACGUAUUCAAAAUUUUAGAAUGGAAAAGCUUCACAAAUAACCUAAGCUAUGUUAUUUUUUUUCUGUAAAAAUAGUAGUACAUAGUCUGUAUAAUACACCUCAAUAGAUUCCUACACAUGAUAUUAAUUUCUUCAGACAUAGUUUGUUGCUUUUGAACCUCUUAAGAAAGAGAUUUUUGUUGAGACUUACUUAAUGCAAAAAAUCCCCUAUUAUUUUUGUUUAACCCUACAAUAAUUAAAGAAGUAAGGAAUAUAUUUUCAUAAAGACAAGAUGCAUGAAUUCGGAACCAUAAUAGAAGCCCUUGUGCAACAUUAACUCUGACAUGCUAUACAAAGUGCCUGUCGUAACUGCAUAUUAUAGCUCAUAAAAAUUGUAACUUUUACAUUAUAAUGUGAAUUUACAAACUGUAGACAGUCUUUUGAAAAAUGCAUACAUGCUUGUUCUUCUAGCAAUAGGAGGUGUAACACUGACUGUGCCCUUAUUAAAAGCAUAAUAAACUUCAAUUAUUUCCUCUAAUAGACGCUCACCAAUGUGCCACAUCUGUAGUAAAAGCUGAAGAAUAGAUGAUUCUCAACAAUUAUCAUGUGUGUAAUACCAGUUGUAUCGCAGUUGUUGAGGCCUUUUCAGGAUGAUGCUUUUUAAAUCAGAUGAAUUUAAUGAAAGAGAGUUUGAGGGCUCUUACAAUGUUUUAGAAAAGGCAUGUGCGGGCACCUAAAUUAUUCUGGAAAUGCUCUGGGAAUUGGUAUCAUAUCUACUUCAACCAGAUGCUGUAUCCCUCUGUUCACCCCCACUCUCUUCUAUCAGUAAAUGUUUCCUUUGUCAAACACCUUGAGACAACAUCCCUGUUUAGACAGCCUUUACUAUGAUGCUUCUGCUUUCAGCUUGUAUCUUAAGCUACAGAAUUGAAGACAGCAGGGUAAAUCUAUACUUGUUUCUCCUCACCAUGCAUAAGUAAUUAUUUCAAAUGACCUUGGGUUAAGACCUUUGACCACACCCACACAACUCAAAUAAUUCAGCUAUUGCCAGCUGCCUUCCUCAUGAGUCCUUCCUCCUUAGUCCCUGAAGUGAAAUGUUGCUCUUGAGUAUUACCACAGCUUUAGGUACUGGCAUAGCUUGGCAAGGGCCAAAACCAUUUUUAUUUUACAGUUCUGAAGUACUAAUUAUUUAGGAUGUUUUCUUAUCUUGAAGACUAAUGUAGCCAGCUUAAUGUAAAUAAAAGGUUUGUAAAACUUAAAUAUUUAUGUGGAAGGAGAAAUCCCCAUGUAGAUUGCCAUUUAAGUAAGAGCAUUGCAAAUGUCUGUCACUAAAACUAAAGACUACUGUAGUUUCAUAACAAUGGUGUAACUCCUGGUUGGGUAGGAAGUGCAAGCUAACAGUCUGACUAGGAACCUGAUCCAUUUGUCAUACGAGGCAUUGUGUGAAACUACUGCAUGUUUGAGAUCACAUUUAGCAGAGCUGAGAACAGAUCUUUAAAUUCUCAGUUUAUAUUUUAAUUAAAAGUGAUAAUGGAUACUAGUUUGUUCAUGUAACACAACUAGCCAGUGCUGAUGU
rnacentral:lncRNA from 1 species